GACGAACGCUGGCGGCGUGCUUAACACAUGCAAGUCGAACGGAAAGGCCCUGCUUGCAGGGUACUCGAGUGGCGAACGGGUGAGUAACACGUGGGUGAUCUGCCCUGCACUUCGGGAUAAGCCUGGGAAACUGGGUCUAAUACCGGAUAGGAGCUAUUUUUAGUGUGAUGGUUGGAAAGUUUUUUCGGUGUAGGAUGAGUUCGCGGCCUAUCAGCUUGUUGGUGGGGUAAUGGCCUACCAAGGCGGCGAGGGGUAGCCGGCCUGAGAGGGUGGACGGCCACCUUGGGACUGAGAUACGGCCCAGACUCCUACGGGAGGCAGCAGUGGGGAAUAUUGCACAAUGGGCGCAAGCCUGAUGCAGCGGCGCCGCGUGUGGGAUGACGGCCUUCGGGUUGUAAACUCCUUUCGCUAGAGACGAAGCUUUUUGUGACGGUACCUAGAUAAGAAGCACCGGCUAACUACGUG
rnacentral:rRNA from 1 species